rnacentral:rRNA from 1 species
UUGCGGUUAAAACGUUCGUAGUUGAAUUUGUGUCCCACACGGGUAGUGCACCCAAGUGCGGGUUUGCACUACUUGUUGCAUGUGCGCCGGUAAAACGGUGUGCAUGUGACUUUAAGUGUGACGGAUGUUUUACCGGUGAGGGAAACGAUCCAUUCUUGUGCGGUUCGCCGUUACAGUUGGAGACGCCCCUUAUGUAAUAAACCCAUUUUUGUGCUCUUCAUCGAGUGCAAUUGUGGGCCGGUACAAUUACUUUGAACAAAUUAGAGUGCUUAAAGCAGGCUAAAUGUAAUGAAAAUUAUAACGCCUGAAUAUAUUUUGCAUGGAAUAAUGGAAUAGGACCUCUGUUCUAUUUGAUUGGUUUCUAGAUCAAGAGGUAAUGAUUAAUAGAAGCAGUUGGGGGCAUUAGUAUUACGAGGCGAGAGGUGAAAUUCGUAGACCCUCGUAAGACUGACUUAAGCGAAAGCAUU